AUACGUAUGGGGCAAGCGUUAUCCGGAAUUAUUGGGCGUAAAGAGUGCGUAGGUGGUUACCUAAGCGCAAGGUUUAAUCUUGAGGCUCAACCUCAUUCUGCCUUGCGAACUGGGCUACUUGAGUGCAGGAGGGGAAAGCGGAAUUCCCAGUGUAGCGGUGAAAUGCGUAGAUAUUGGGAAGAACACCGGUGGCGAAGGCGGCUUUCUGGACUGUAACUGACACUGAGGCACGAAAGCGUGGGGAGCAAACAGGAUUAGAUACCCUGGUAGUCCACGCCGUAAACGAUGAGCACUAGUUGUUGGGUACGAAUGUAUUCAGUGACGCAGUUAACGCAAUAAGUGCUCCGCCUGGGGAGUACGGUGGCAACACUAAAACUCAAAUGAAUUGGCGGGG
rnacentral:rRNA from 1 species